rnacentral:rRNA from 1 species
UAGGGAAUCUUCCACAAUGGACGCGAGUCUGAUGGAGCAACGCCGCGUGAGUGAAGAAGGUUUUCGGAUCGUAAGGCUCUGUUGUUGGCGAAGAAGGAUAGAGGCAGUAACUGGUCUUUAUUUGACGGUAAUCAACCAGAAAGUCACGGCUAACUACGNGCCAG